GAUGAACGCUGGCGGCGUGCCUAAUACAUGCAAGUCGAGCGAACGGACGAGAAGCUUGCUUCUCUGAUGUUAGCGGCGGACGGGUGAGUAACACGUGGAUAACCUACCUAUAAGACUGGGAUAACUUCGAGAAACCGGAGCUAAUACCGGAUGAUAUUUUGAACCGCAUGGUUCAAAAGUGAAAGACGGUCUUGCUGUCACUUAUAGAUGGAUCCGCGCUGCAUUGGCUAGUUGGUAAGGUAACGGCUUACCAAGGCAACGAUGCAUAGCCGACCUGAGAGGGUGAUCGGCCACACUGGAACUGAGACACGGUCCAGACUCCUACGGGAGGCAGCAGUAGGGAAUCUUCCGCAAUGGGCGAAAGCCUGACGGAGCAACGCCGCGUGAGUGAUGAAGGUCUUCGGAUCGUAAAACUCUGUUAUUAGGGAAGAACAUAUGUGUAAGUAACUGUGCACAUCUUGACGGUACCUAAUCAGAAAGCCACGGCUAACUACGUG
rnacentral:rRNA from 1 species